UUGGAGGGCAAGUCUGGUGCCAGCAGCCGCGGUAAUUCCAGCUCCAAUAGCGUAUAUUAAAGUUGUUGCAGUUAAAAAGCUCGUAGUUGAAUUUCGAGAUCAAAUUGUUGGUCGUGCCUUGGUACGUACUGGCAUUAUUGAUUUCUCCCUCCUGAAGAACCACGAUGUCAUUAAUUUGGUGUCAUGGGGAAUCAGGACUGUUACUUUGAAAAAAUUAGAGUGUUUAAAGCAGGCUAACGCUUGAAUACAUUAGCAUGGAAUAAUGAAAUAGGACGUUUGAUUCUAUUUUGUUGGUUUCUAGGAUCGACGUAAUGAUUAAUAGGGAUAGUUGGGGGCACUAGUAUUCAAUUGUCAGAGGUGAAAUUCUUGGAUUUAUUGAAGACUAACUACUGCGAAAGCAUUUGCCAAGGAUGUUUUCAUUAAUCAAGAACGAAAGUUAGGGGAUCGAAGACGAUCAGAUACCGUCGUAGUCUUAACCAUAAACUAUGCCGACUAGGGAUCGGAUGAUGUUAAUUUUUUAAUGACUCAUUCGGCGCCUUACGGGAAAC
rnacentral:rRNA from 1 species